rnacentral:rRNA from 1 species
CGGAACGUGCCCAGUCGUGGGGGAUAACUACUCGAAAGAGUAGCUAAUACCGCAUACGAUCUGAGGAUGAAAGCGGGGGACCUUCGGGCCUCGCGCGAUUGGAGCGGCCGAUGGCAGAUUAGGUAGUUGGUGGGAUAAAAGCUUACCAAGCCGACGAUCUGUAGCUGGUCUGAGAGGACGACCAGCCACACUGGGACUGAGACACGGCCCAGACUCCUACGGGAGGCAGCAGUGGGGAAUUUUGGACAAUGGGCGAAAGCCUGAUCCAGCAAUGCCGCGUGCAGGAUGAAGGCCUUCGGGUUGUAAACUGCUUUUGUACGGAACGAAAAAGCUCCUUCUAAUACAGGGGGCCCAUGACGGUACCGUAAGAAUAAGCACCGGCUAACUACGUGCCAGCAGCCGCGGUAAUACGUAGGGUGCGAGCGUUAAUCGGAAUUACUGGGCGUAAAGCGUGCGCAGGCGGUUAUGUAAGACAGAUGUGAAAUCCCCGGGCUCAACCUGGGAACUGCAUUUGUGACUGCAUGGCUAGAGUACGGUAGAGGGGGAUGGAAUUCCGCGU